rnacentral:misc_RNA from 1 species
GAUGAAGAACGUAGCGAAAUGCGAUAAGUAAUGUGAAUUGCAGAAUUCAGUGAAUCAUCGAAUCUUUGAACGCACAUUGCGCCCGCCAGUACUCUGGCGGGCAUGCCUGUUCGAGCGUCAUUUCAACCCUCAAGACCCCUUCGGGGGACUUGGUGUUGGGGACCGGCACAGGGGCCUGCCUGCUUGUCUUGCAGCGCCCUCGCCGCCCCCGAAAUGAAUUGGCGGCCUCGUCGCGGCCUCCCCUGCGUAGUAGCACAACCUCGCAACGGGAACGUGACGGCGGCCACUGCCGUAAAACAACCCAAUUUUAUUAGAGUUGACCUCGAAUCAGGUAGGAAUACCCGCUGAACUUAAGCAUAUCAAUAAGCGGAGGA